UACGUAGGGGACGAGCGUUGUCCGGAAUUACUGGGCGUAAAGGGCGCGCAGGCGGAUAUUUAAGUCAGCUGUUAAAGUCAUGGGCUCAACCCAUGGAUGCGGUUGAAACUGGGUAUCUAGAGUGCUGGAGAGGUAGGCGGAAUUCCCGGUGUAGCGGUGAAAUGCGUAGAUAUCGGGAAGAACACCAGUGGCGAAGGCGGCUUACUGGCCAGCAACUGACGCUGAGGCGCGAAAGCCAGGGGAGCGAACGGGAUUAGAUACCCUGGUAGU
rnacentral:rRNA from 1 species